rnacentral:sRNA from 1 species
AAUCUCAAAAACAAAACAUUGUGACUUAAGUAUGAUGGGAUACAAUUUUUUC